GAUGUUAUUUGCUGAGCAAUUAUUAUGAUGAUAUAUGAUCUCAAAGAAUGUUAUAAUUGAUUUGACUCGAAUAUCAAUUAAUUUUAUUAUCUUGAAAAUAAUAUAUAAAUUGGAAGAUAAUAUGAAAUUGACAACCUGACUGUGUUGAGGACCCCGCCAAUGGGGGCAUAUACGUUGGCAAUUGACUGUCCUGAGGAUUUAUGUCGCCAGUGAGACCAGCGACAUGUCGCCAGAUAGACCAGCGACAAAACCGCCAGUUAGACCAGCAGUUCCAAAGGACUUGGCUGCCAGAUGAUUCACAGCCCACCACAAGCAGAUACGCGGUAUUAUGACCCUG
rnacentral:lncRNA from 1 species